rnacentral:rRNA from 1 species
GACGAACGCUGGCGGCGUGCCUAAUACAUGCAAGUCGAACGCUUCUUUCCUCCCGAGUGCUUGCACUCAAUUGGAAAGAGGAGUGGCGGACGGGUGAGUAACACGUGGGUAACCUACCCAUCAGAGGGGGAUAACACUUGGAAACAGGUGCUAAUACCGCAUAACAGUUUAUGCCGCAUGGCAUAAGAGUGAAAGGCGCUUUCGGGUGUCGUUGAUGGAUGGACCCGCGGUGCAUUAGCUAGUUGGUGAGGUAACGGCUCACCAAGGCCACGAUGCAUAGCCGACCUGAGAGGGUGAUCGGCCACACUGGGACUGGGACACGGCCCAGACUCCUACGGGAGGCAGCAGUAGGGAAUCUUCGGCAAUGGACGAAAGUCUGACCGAGCAACGCCGCGUGAGUGAAGAAGGUUUUCGGAUCGUAAAACUCUGUUGUUAGAGAAGAACAAGGACGUUAGUAACUGAACGUCCCCUGACGGUAUCUAACCAGAAAGCCACGGCUAACUACGUG